rnacentral:lncRNA from 1 species
GGAAGUAGACUUGGUAAUGACAUAGGGUCCCUUGUUACAGGGCAUAGAAGAGGAGGUGCCAGGGUAAGGUUUUAGUGACAACACAAUAUAUUGAAAUAGACCGUUGGUAUAUAAUCUUCCUGUCAUUUUAUUCCAUCCAUCCCAACGAGACUUUCGGCGGGAAAUUCGAAAUGACAUUUCCAGAUUUUCUGGUUUUUUUUUCUUUUUUUUUGUCUUUGUUAGUCCACUCCCACUCACUUAUAGCUUGUUAGUACAUAUCACUCAGUUUAAAAUUCGGGGAUACGGUGAAUAGCUCCUCUCCCCAACCAUUGUUU